rnacentral:rRNA from 1 species
UGGCGACCGGCGCACGGGUGCGUAACGCGUAUGCAACCUACCUUUAACAGGGGGAUAACACUGAGAAAUUGGUACUAAUACCCCAUAAUAUCAUAGAAGGCAUCUUUUAUGGUUGAAAAUUCCGAUGGUUAGAGAUGGGCAUGCGUUGUAUUAGCUAGUUGGUAGGGUAACGGCCCACCAAGGCGACGAUACAUAGGGGGACUGAGAGGUUAACCCCCCACACUGGUACUGAGACACGGACCAG